rnacentral:rRNA from 1 species
UACGUAGGUGACUAGCGUUGUCCGGAUUUACUGGGCGUAAAGAGCGCGCAGGCGGUCGUUCAAGUCGAGUGUGAAAGCCCCGGCUCAACUGGGGAGGGUCAUUCGAUACUGAUCGACUCGAAGGCAGGAGAGGGAAGCGGAAUUCCCGGUGUAGUGGUGAAAUGGCGUAGAUAUCCGGGAAGAACACCGAUGGCGAAGGCAACCACCUGGGCCUGCACUGACGCUGAGGUACGAAAGCGUGGGGAGCAAACAGG